AGAAAUUUAGGCUAAAUAGACCAAUGGCCUUCAAAGCCAUAAGUAAGCACAUAAGCUUAAUUUCUG
rnacentral:tRNA from 2 species